GCAGACACAUUCCAGCCAAUCAGCAGCAGACUCUCCCUCCCAGACCCUCCCACCUCCUGGACAGCUCACUAAGAAUGCAGCUUCACAAUGAAUGUAAAAUGGAUGCUGUCCAGGAGGUGGGAGGGUCUGGGAGGGAGGGUCUGCUGCUGAUUGGCUGGAAUGUGUCUG
rnacentral:miRNA from 1 species